rnacentral:rRNA from 1 species
GAUGAACGCUGGCGGCGUGCCUAAUACAUGCAAGUCGAGCGAACGGACGAGAAGCUUGCUUCUCUGAUGUUAGCGGCGGACGGGUGGGUAACACGUGGAUAACCUACCUAUAAGACUGGGAUAACUUCGGGAAACCGUAGCUAAUACCGGAUAAUAUUUUGAACCGCAUGGUUCAAAAGUGAAAGACGGUCUUGCUGUCACUUAUAGAUGGAUCCGCGCUGCAUUAGCUAGUUGGUAAGGUAACGGCUUACCAAGGCAACGAUGCAUAGCCGACCUGAGAGGCUGAUCAGCCACACUGGAACUGAGACACGGUCCAGACUCCUACGGGAAGCAACAAUAGGGGUUCUUACGCAAUGGGCGGAAGCCUGACGGAACAAAGCCGCGUGAGUGAUAGAGGUCUUCGGAUCGUAAAAAUCUGUUAUUAGGGAAGAACAUAUGUGUGAGUGACUGUGCACAUCGUGACGGUACCUAAGCAGAAAGCCACGGCUAACUACGAG